CAGCUGCAUCAGAUUUGACCCCUGUGCCCUGUUGGCAUGUCCCCAUGCUUCCUGACUAGGGUUGGCAUCCCUGGAGUGAACUACAACCUGGGACUUUCAGAGACGGCUGUGGUUAGGCAGGGAGCAGCCCGUGUUCUGGAGUAGACCCAGACAUAAACCUAGUUCUUGAUUUGAGAACAGUGGUUCCCCUGAACUGGCUUGAUAAUGUGUUCCCAGCCGGGCAAGUCAGCCAUAGAGGGGCCUAGCAAUCCUCUGCCCCCCCCCCCCAGAUUCUUUGAAUUCUUCUUUUCUUUUUGUUGGUUUUGUUUGCCCAGUUGAGACAGGACCUCACUAUGAAGCCCAGGCUAGCCUUGAGUGAGAUCCCUCUGCCUCAUCCCCACAAGGGAAUAUGCAGGCUCCCUACCGUUUGGAAGCAGGAAUUCUGCAGGGCUCAGAGCCUCAGGAGCUCCUUCCCCAGCUGGGCAGAGCUGCACUUCCUGUGGAUGAGACCCACAGAAAUGCAAAGAUCAACUGGGCAGCAAGUGCCAAUCACCUGUCAUUGCUCCUCCCAUCACCAGAACAGACCGUUGUAUGAAUAAGAAUGACAUCUACGAGCACCUGCCGUGCUCCACUGAUUGUAUGGGAUGCUCAUGGGAUCUGUGCACCAGAGGGAGCAGGAUGCCAGGAGAGGCCAGUCUUGCAAACUUCUAACCCCCCAGGUUCUCAGUGGCAGAAGACUGACUGUACAGUGACUAAGGUGGCUUGUGGUUGAGCUGAACACUGCACUUGGAGCAUUUGUAGCUCCAGACCCCUUCGCGUUCCUGACCCUACAGAUGAGGUGAAUCAUGCUUGCUUCCUAUUCAGUCUUCAUGGGGUCAAGGAUCCACUUAGCACCUGUAUUAGUCUAUUCUGGCUUCAAGAAGAGCAUGCUGUAGACUAGGUGGCUUCUAAACAACAGACAUUGAUCUCUUGGCUGUGAAGGCUGAGGAGUUCACGAUCAAGAGAUUCAGUGUCUCACAAAGGCCAGCUUCCGAUGACUUCUCAUCAUGUCCUCCCAUGCCCGAGGGACGGAGUCUUUGGGUCUCAUUCACAAGGGCACUAUCCCCAGGGUCUACUCAACUCCCAAAGGUCUGCUUCCUGAUCCUAUCACAACGUGGACCAGGAUUGCAACCUUUGAUUGGAGGGUGGGGCAUAAAUAUCCAGUCACUGACAACACCCUUCCAAGAGCCCUUAGGAUUCAAAAUGAUAAGCGAAUUCUCCAUUCCGGAACUGAAACCAGAAAGAAAUCUACAGAAAGAGAAAGUCUAUUAGUGACAAGAAGAGAACGUUUCUGCUUUCCUGAAGAUAUACAGUUGGCCAUCUCAGAGGCUCUAGAUCCUAGAUCAUAGUACAGUGGAUAUGUUUGCUUAUAAAGAUAUUUUGAUGUGUUAGUUUAUAACUCAAAGAGAUUGCCAGAGUGGGGAUGAGGAGACCAAAAGACAUGUCUAAGGCUCUUAGUACAUCUUUUCAAAUUGCCUUCCAAGUGGGUCAGAUUAAUUUAUAUCUUAUUUGGGAUCUGUACUGGCUGGUUUUGUGUGUCAACUUGACGCAAGCUGGAGUUAUCACAGAGAAAGGUGCCUCCCUUGAGGAAAUGCCUCCAUGAGAUCCAGCUGUAGGGCAUUUUCUCAAUUAGUGAUCAAGGGCCCCUUGUGGGCGGUGCCAUCCCUAGGCUAGUAGUGCUGGGUUCUAUAAGAGAGCAAGCUGAGCAAGCCAGGGGAAGCAAGCCAGUAAGCAGCACCCCUCCAUGGCCUCUGCAUCAGCUCCUGCUUCCAAGUUCCUGCCCUGUGUGAGUUCCUGUCCUGACUUCCCUUGGUGGUGAACAGCAAUAUGGAAGUGUAAGCUGAAUAAACCUUUUUCCUCCCC
rnacentral:lncRNA from 1 species